AGGGGGGCACAUUGCUUUGGCUAGUGGCCUACAGCAUGCCACAGCUUGGAUUGCUGGAGACAGACUAGGAAUGUGGACUUGAGCCUUUCUCCAGCUGCUGGAGUAAUCUGGGAAGAUGGACAGCAGCAGACUCAGCAGGGCACGGGUGAGAGAAGCAGCCUCUGGAGGCAGCACACACAGACUGUCUUCCCCAUGCCAACCCUUCCCUUCACAGACUUCAUCUCACAACAAACUGACAUGGCAACGCCACAGAGGCAGUGACGAUCAGGUUUCAAAGGACAACACAGCAUGCUGAUGAGAAACAAUCACCAGAAAGCAAGGACUUAUGAGACUUGCAAGAUAAAAGGACCUUAUUUUCUUGGCAAGCUCCAUACACGUUCUGCAAUGACGAAUGAUAUGACUGUUAUCUUGACACCGUGCUCUCCCAUGUUGAAACUGUUUAUGAGAACCAAGCAUCAUAUGAAGAACAGAUUGCCAGACGCUAAGUAAAUCAUUGUAAAGGGUGGUGAGUCAAGUAUUGCCAGUUUUACCCACAUUGUCAUUGUUAUGAUGUAACACAUUCCUCAAGACUGAUAUUGUCUCCAAAUUUGGGCACAAAAGCCUCUCCUUGAUCAGUUGGCUGAGAGUCUCUGCCUCCUGAUAUGUCACACUCAGACACAGCUGCCGAGACCCAAGCAUCCCGAUUUGGACAUACACCUAACCUGAGUUAGGCACAAAGGGCAGCACAGAAAAGAUAGAAUAUUUUAAAAGGUGUGUGGAGAUUACACAAACUGUAAAUUUCAACCCUUGCUCAAGCAAUAAACCCUGUAAUCCUCUAA